rnacentral:rRNA from 1 species
GGGUUGUGAGGUUAAGCGACUAAGCGUACACGGUGGAUGCCCUGGCAGUCAGAGGCGAUGAAGGACGUGCUAAUCUGCGAUAAGCGUCGGUAAGGUGAUAUGAACCGUUAUAACCGGCGAUUUCCGAAUGGGGAAACCCAGUGUGUUUCGACACACUAUCAUUAACUGAAUCCAUAGGUUAAUGAGGCGAACCGGGGGAACUGAAACAUCUAAGUACCCCGAGGAAAAGAAAUCAACCGAGAUUCCCCCAGUAGCGGCGAGCGAACGGGGAGGAGCCCAGAGCCUGAAUCAGUGUGUGUGUUAGUGGAAGCGUCUGGAAAGGCGCGCGAUACAGGGUGACAGCCCCGUACACAAAAAUGCACAUACUGUGAGCUCGAUGAGUAGGGCGGGACACGUGGUAUCCUGUCUGAAUAUGGGGGGACCAUCCUCCAAGGCUAAAUACUCCUGACUGACCGAUAGUGAACCAGUACCGUGAGGGAAAGGCGAAAAGAACCCCGGCGAGGGGAGUGAAAAAGAACCUGAAACCGUGUACGUACAAGCAGUGGGAGCCUCUUAAUGGGGUGACUGCGUACCUUUUGUAUAAUGGGUCAGCGACUUAUAUUCUGUAGCAAGGUUAACCGAAUAGGGGAGCCGAAGGGAAACCGAGUCUUAACUGGGCGUUAAGUUGCAGGGUAUAGACCCGAAACCCGGUGAUCUAGCCAUGGGCAGGUUGAAGGUUGGGUAACACUAACUGGAGGACCGAACCGACUAAUGUUGAAAAAUUAGCGGAUGACUUGUGGCUGGGGGUGAAAGGCCAAUCAAACCGGGAGAUAGCUGGUUCUCCCCGAAAGCUAUUUAGGUAGCGCCUCGUGAAUUCAUCUCCGGGGGUAGAGCACUGUUUCGGCAAGGGGGUCAUCCCGACUUACCAACCCGAUGCAAACUGCGAAUACCGGAGAAUGUUAUCACGGGAGACACACGGCGGGUGCUAACGUCCGUCGUGAAGAGGGAAACAACCCAGACCGCCAGCUAAGGUCCCAAAGUCAUGGUUAAGUGGGAAACGAUGUGGGAAGGCCCAGACAGCCAGGAUGUUGGCUUAGAAGCAGCCAUCAUUUAAAGAAAGCGUAAUAGCUCACUGGUCGAGUCGGCCUGCGCGGAAGAUGUAACGGGGCUAAACCAUGCACCGAAGCUGCGGCAGCGACACUAUGUGUUGUUGGGUAGGGGAGCGUUCUGUAAGCCUGCGAAGGUGUACUGUGAGGUAUGCUGGAGGUAUCAGAAGUGCGAAUGCUGACAUAAGUAACGAUAAAGCGGGUGAAAAGCCCGCUCGCCGGAAGACCAAGGGUUCCUGUCCAACGUUAAUCGGGGCAGGGUGAGUCGACCCCUAAGGCGAGGCCGAAAGGCGUAGUCGAUGGGAAACAGGUUAAUAUUCCUGUACUUGGUGUUACUGCGAAGGGGGGACGGAGAAGGCUAUGUUGGCCGGGCGACGGUUGUCCCGGUUUAAGCGUGUAGGCUGGUUUUCCAGGCAAAUCCGGAAAAUCAAGGCUGAGGCGUGAUGACGAGGCACUACGGUGCUGAAGCAACAAAUGCCCUGCUUCCAGGAAAAGCCUCUAAGCAUCAGGUAACAUCAAAUCGUACCCCAAACCGACACAGGUGGUCAGGUAGAGAAUACCAAGGCGCUUGAGAGAACUCGGGUGAAGGAACUAGGCAAAAUGGUGCCGUAACUUCGGGAGAAGGCACGCUGAUAUGUAGGUGAAGUCCCUCGCGGAUGGAGCUGAAAUCAGUCGAAGAUACCAGCUGGCUGCAACUGUUUAUUAAAAACACAGCACUGUGCAAACACGAAAGUGGACGUAUACGGUGUGACGCCUGCCCGGUGCCGGAAGGUUAAUUGAUGGGGUUAGCGGUAACGCGAAGCUCUUGAUCGAAGCCCCGGUAAACGGCGGCCGUAACUAUAACGGUCCUAAGGUAGCGAAAUUCCUUGUCGGGUAAGUUCCGACCUGCACGAAUGGCGUAAUGAUGGCCAGGCUGUCUCCACCCGAGACUCAGUGAAAUUGAACUCGCUGUGAAGAUGCAGUGUACCCGCGGCAAGACGGAAAGACCCCGUGAACCUUUACUAUAGCUUGACACUGAACAUUGAGCCUUGAUGUGUAGGAUAGGUGGGAGGCUUUGAAGUGUGGACGCCAGUCUGCAUGGAGCCGGCCUUGAAAUACCACCCUUUAAUGUUUGAUGUUCUAACGUUGGCCCCUGAUCGGGGUUGCGGACAGUGUCUGGUGGGUAGUUUGACUGGGGCGGUCUCCUCCUAAAGAGUAACGGAGGAGCACGAAGGUUGGCUAAUCCUGGUCGGACAUCAGGAGGUUAGUGCAAUGGCAUAAGCCAGCUUGACUGCGAGCGUGACGGCGCGAGCAGGUGCGAAAGCAGGUCAUAGUGAUCCGGUGGUUCUGAAUGGAAGGGCCAUCGCUCAACGGAUAAAAGGUACUCCGGGGAUAACAGGCUGAUACCGCCCAAGAGUUCAUAUCGACGGCGGUGUUUGGCACCUCGAUGUCGGCUCAUCACAUCCUGGGGCUGAAGUAGGUCCCAAGGGUAUGGCUGUUCGCCAUUUAAAGUGGUACGCGAGCUGGGUUUAGAACGUCGUGAGACAGUUCGGUCCCUAUCUGCCGUGGGCGCUGGAGAACUGAGGGGGGCUGCUCCUAGUACGAGAGGACCGGAGUGGACGCAUCACUGGUGUUCGGGUUGUCAUGCCAAUGGCACUGCCCGGUAGCUAAAUGCGGAAGAGAUAAGUGCUGAAAGCAUCUAAGCACGAAACUUGCCCCGAGAUGAGUUCUCCCUGACUCUUUAAGGGUCCUGAAGGAACGUUGAAGACGACGACGUUGAUAGGCCGGGUGUGUAAGCGCAGCGAUGCGUUGAGCUAACCGGUACUAAUGAACCGUGAGGCUUAACCUUACAACGCCGAAG